rnacentral:rRNA from 1 species
GGGAUACAGCCCUAGGGCGGCAACUCGUGGCGACAAACUCUGGGAGAGGGAACGGUUUUGUCGAGGGAGGGUUUUGCGGGCGGACUUUUACCGCCCGGAUCCGCCGCGGCCGCCGACCCCGCCGAAUCUGCUGCUGCUGACCCCGGAUUCGCUCCUCGUCAUGCGGUUCGAGCUCGUCCUGCGGAUGGCGCGCUAACGCCUCGCGUUCCGGAGGAGAAGGCGGCGGAGGUGGCGGGGGCGUUAGAGCGGCGUGGGGUUGGCGCGGGAUAGCGGCCGCCGGUGCCAGAGAAGCGGCGAGGCCUUGCUCGUGGGGCGGAGGUCCCAGAGGGACCUCAGAGCGAAGCCGUUCCAUCUUAGUGAAAGUGGAAGAGCCGAAUCAGUUGGUUUGCGUCACUUAUUAUAAGUCCCGUCAACCGGAUUCUAUAGAUAUGUAGAAAAGGAAGUGAGAUCACCACACUAACGUCGCUUCAAGGGAAUAUUGGUCUUUGAGCACCUACGUAAAGUGUUCUAGGGCUUUCGAUCGACCUUACCUUUUCUUUCCCACACCUACAAGGGAGGCUGUAGAAACAGUUAUCGCCUCCUUCAAGAAGUACGACAUGGACCUAAUCAACAACUCCAAGUUUUUAACCUGGGUAAUCAAGUCGCCCGAAAACUACGACGAAAUCGACGGUUUCUAGAGGCUCCAAACAUACUGUUCUAAGGUCGCCUACAACUCAGUUUUGAAUACGGGAAAGUCGCACUGCCUCAGUCCAAGCGAAACUUUGUACCCCCGUCUCACGACUAUCGUCUACUUUACCCAGAACCUUUUUGUAACGUCCGUUAACGACAACGAAGAACGGAAGUACUACGGACCGGUCAAGAACAAUAGAGAGGUAGAAGUAACGCUGAUGUAACCCGAAGAUACUAAGUCGUCACCGAAUUGUAGGGAUGCCUUCUAUAGAACCACCACAAUGGUGUUUGACCUCCUAGUUUAUUCCGUCCUAAGUCUAACCAUAUAAGUUUGUGGUUUCCUCUAAAAGUAAACCUACCCUACAAGUUACAGUAUAGAAUACUACAUCAAGGGUUCUAUGUUUCGUGAGAAGACCUGAACCUAAAAUUCUAUCAAUAUCGACUACUCAGUGUGAAGGACUUCUUACCGGUUCGCUUCUCUUGUUAGCGAAGUGAAGGACAAGACGUCUUUCGAGUUAUACACCAAAACGAUUCACCUUGCGGACGGAAUAGAGCGGGGUAGCUCAACAAAUGAGUCGAGGUCCGCAAUAUAGGAUGACAGAUGUUCUUGCAUUUACUUAUACCGUUAUCUAUGACGUUUCCACCUAUAAAACCCAAUAUAGUUCCGCGAUCGUUAGUACUCCUCGAUGUAUUAAACUACUUUCGUUGGCAGUACUAGGCGUCCAACUUCUUUCUACAAGAAAGCCUCAACGGACAAUUCGCAUCCGUUGUCCAGAAAGAUCUGAAUUCGCUCUUUCUCUACUUUGUAUAGGCGCGAGAAAAAGCACUCAACCUCUGACAGUUCUAGUUUUACGUCAGCACACUGAGUGUCCUCUGCUAGCUGAGAGACUUUAAAUUAGUUUUCUUAUAAUAGUUAUUCUAGAUAUUAUUAAGCCGACUGCGGUUUUAAGGUCGUCACGAACUAAUGGACCGGUGACAUUAACUCCGACUGACGUUUAAGAAUUAUAAACGUGUGGUAGUUGGGUACUAACUACGAUAAGUGGUUGUAGAGAACUUUUUCUUUCAGUUUACAUAUUCUUAACUACCGGUUUGUGGACAUCGACAUUCCGUUUUAAACCAGUGUCUAAAGGUCUUGUUCCUACUGUAGUUCCGUCGUCACAAUAGGUAGUUUCGACCUCCGCACCCCAAUUGAAACUGUCGUCGUUCAUGUCAAUAGAAACGACUCAAUAGUACCUGAGGUCCACUGUAAUAAGUCCGUCUCCUAGCACGGGUGGCCUAACCAGUCCAAAGAAGCCACUUGUAUAUAAUGGAAGAGCGUUUGCUGUGUCAUCUACUAUAAUAUACCCUACAACAAGUUCCGUUUGAACUCUUAAACCCCGUCUACGACCUGCCCGUCCUCUUUUGCGACUUGCAGAGCGUCUAACUUUGCUCUGGUUCGGGGAGCUUCGUCUUCUGUGAACUGUGGAUGGAGUUCGCUACGUCGUGAAGGUGCCUUCGGGUCGGGUCGGGCUUUUCGGCGUCCAAAACUACCUCCCUAGUUGCGUGACACUAGUUCACGUACGAAAACAACAAAGAACUGGGCUAACCAGGACGGCACAUAGUGGCGGCAACAUUUACAUACCAUCGUGGCAGGCGUAACGGAACAACAUAAAACCUAUCGUCAUCAUAUACACUCUCAUAACGGUAGAAUCACGGACCUCAUUACCACUUACCACUUAUACACUUUCGACACCUGUACCAUCUCAAAAAGAUCACCUGUAGAAUACCGACACACGUAGCGUUAUUACGUCUCCGACACCCAAUUGGAGGAAAUUUUUUUGUUACGUAAAAAAAUCCCUUUUUGUUACGUAACAAUCCC